rnacentral:sRNA from 1 species
AAGGCUUCUAGCAGUGCAGCCAAGAAAGCUAAGACUGAAGACGCUUUAAUAGACAUAGAUAUCAAAGAAGAGGCUCGUGCUGGAAGGCUGACUAAACUGACGGUGCCUAUACUGAAAGAAAUCAUCAAGAAACAUAAGAUAGCAACAACAGCCACGAGGAAGAAUGACCUCAUCGAUGCAAUCGUCCAACAUUUUGGAGUUUAAAGAAAACAUUUUGUUAACAUGUUUAUUUCUUUCAUGUCAUUCCUGAACAGAGUGAUUCACAAAUUGUUGUUAGAUUUAAGAAUUAUAUCUCUAGCAGAUUGUUAGUUGUUGUUUUUUUCCACACUAUUUCACUAUGUACAGUUGUGAUGUUUGUUCAAUAUUGCAGACCUCUAUGUUCACUGGAAUAUGUUUUACAUUUAGUGCCAUGUUGAGUUUUAAGAUACUGGUUAAUGUUAUGUACAUUAACAAAUUGACUGAACUGUAGUAAAACAAAUACAAUUCUGAAUUCUAAA